rnacentral:rRNA from 1 species
GACGAACGCUGGCGGCGUGCUUAACACAUGCAAGUCGAACGGAAAGGCCCUGCUUUUGUGGGGUGCUCGAGUAGCGAACGGGUGAGUAACACGUGAGUAACCUGCCCUUGACUUUGGGAUAACUUCAGGAAACUGGGGCUAAUACCGGAUAGGAGCUCCUGCUGCAUGGUGGGGGUUGGAAAUUUUCGGCGGUUGGGGAUGGACUCGCGGCUUAUCAGCUUGUUGGUGGGGUAGUGGCUUACCAAGGCUUUGACGGGUAGCCGGCCUGAGAGGGUGACCGGCCACAUUGGGACUGAGGUACGACGCAGACUCCUACGGGAGGCAGCAGUGGGGAAUAUUGCACAAUGGGCGGAAGCCUGAUGCAGCAACGCCGCGUGCGGGAUGACGGCCUUCGGGUUGUAAACCGCUUUCGCCUGUGACGAAGAGUGAGUGACGGUAAUGGGUAAAGAAGCACCGGCUAACUACGUG